rnacentral:pre_miRNA from 1 species
CACAAAUUAAGGUAUUGGCGUGCCUCAAUUUGAAUACAUGGCUAUUAACAAAAACCACAAGCCAUGUAAUCUGAUUGAGCCGCGUCAAUAUCUUAUUUUGCAGU